CGGUCGCCAUCAAUCCGGCUUCGCCGAAGGUGCGGAUCAGGUCGGAAUCGGAAAACUGCAAGGCAAGGAACGACAGCGCCGCUGUGCCAUGGGUCAGCACGCAGGCCGGCCCAACCACCAGUACGGCGUUACGAAACNNUUUGUCCUCACCCGCAAUCAGGCGAUCUCGGGCAGCGAACGUAAGCUGCAUCGAGUCGGCA
rnacentral:misc_RNA from 1 species